GGUUAACCGCCACCGUAUUCGCGCGAGAGGCAAAUUACACGCCAAUAUUUUCAUCUCCGCGCCAACUCUAGACUGUUCCCGCCACGUCGCGCGAGAGGAAAAAAAAGAAAUGAGCAGAUAAGGCAAGCUCUAGAAAAUUUCCCCAUUCUUUGUCUUCUCCACAUCCUCAUCGCCGCCGCCCUCAGCCUAGCUCCUCGCCAUUGUUGGCCGCCGGCAUCCUCUGCAGCCUCCUCGUUCCAGCGCCGCCGGCCUCCCAUCUGUUCCGUCCUCCACCGCAUACUGCUACCAUAUCCCUGCGCGGACAGGUCCCAUCUCCGACCUAGAGCUCCGCCACUCAUGUAUCCCUGACCUCCACCACCGCCUGCUCGGCUGCUCCUAGGUCCGUCCGCGAGCCCCGCGACCACCGUCCCCACCUCCAUCCGCGAGCGCCGCCCCCUGCCUUCUCCUCCCACCUCCAUUCGUGGCCGGAAGUCUGUCCGAAUCCUAUCCGUCUGCAGCCGUCGCCCAACUCCACUCGGUCGACCUUGACAGCAACCGGCAAUUCCUCUUCCGUUUUUCAGCAGAUUCGUUUUUGGUGUGAAAAGGAAAGAGCAGGAUGGGUUGCCGGGUGGCUGCAUUCCAAACGAUUUGAGGAUAGCCUGGUUUGCAUUAUCUGUGAUAGAAAUUGGCUAGCUAGCUCAGAUUCAUUUUAGCUGAAAAUAUAAACCAUACUUGUCAGAAAACUAGGGCCAUUUGUUUGACCGUAUUGAUUAUUUUGUUUUCAUGACGCAAGAGAUAGCUUUGUUCUAUUUUGUAUCUUAAAGAUUUAGGAUCCCGGUUAAGUGUUGCGAUUAGGUGUUGAGUGUCGCCUAAGCGUGUGGAAGCGGGCAGAAGUGAAGAAAAGUGCAGUGCUGAGCAUCCAUGGUCACCGGCGGCAAAACGAAAAAUUGAGGGUAGGUGGGAGGGAAAAGUAGAAGAUAGGGUUUCCGCCCUAGAUCGAGGUCGCCGCCAUCCGUCCGCUGCGCCUCAGCCCUUAGGUACUGUCAAGAAACGGACAUUGAUCCGGGUGCGGGUGGGUUGGUGCCUGAGGUGCCAAUGGUAUUGACCGGCAACUCAAGCGAUGUUGGUUGGAAGUAUGGCAAAUAUUGUGAUCCAAUCAACAAGAGUAAGCUUGAUGUGCUGCAUGGUGGUAUGAUCUAGCUUUGAAUCCUUCAUACUGUCCUGAGCUAUUAUGGAAGGUGCAGCCCGUUGAUACAACUUCUGCCUUUUGCCACCCUUGACAAAAAAUUAAACGCUGCUGUUUUGCAUCUUCAGAAAUGUUCGUGCAAAACGAAAGGAAUUGUGUUGUGUAAUUGCAGUCAAGUGCAAGGCAGAAUUAAUAAGGUAUCUCUCAUACUUUGGAGACUACGAGUAAGAUCCAAGGUUCAGUACCUAUCGAUAGAGAGGUGUAAUAUCCUCUGCCCUUAUCAAAGAUCGGGAAGCAUUGCACAGUUCUAGGGAAGGGCAGGGAAUAUCAUCAGUACAAGAACUCUGGUUAUCCCUCAACAGGAAGAGGAUCAUCAUAAAGAGAACCUUAAAACCCAAGUUGCAGAAAAAGCAUCAUGGAACAUAAGAUCUCCUCUACUGAAUAUUUACUUGAUGCACCUGUGCGUUUUGAAAUGGUUGAACUUGUGUUUAUGUUGAGAUUUGAUGCAUGUACGAGAAUUCUAUGGAAUUGUAUGACAAUAGAUGUGAUUUCAUAACUCUACUGUUCAUGUAAGCGACUGGUUUGAUGUGUAUCUUUUGUAUAUGGCAAGU